AUGACUACAAGGAACCAACAAUUCUCUCUUCUUAGACAACCUAUAUACUCCACACUUAACCAGCAUUUGAUAGAUUAUUCAACCCCGAGCAAUCUUAGUUAUUGGUGGGGGUUCGGUUCGUUAGCAGGUAUUUCUAUGCAUCACACACCUCAUGUGGAUCUAGCUUUCAACAGCGUAGAACACAUUAUGAGAGAUGUUGAAGGGGGCUGGUUGCUCCGUUAUAUGCAUGCUAAUGGGGCAAGUAUGUUUCUCAUUGUGGUUCACCUUCAUAUUUUUUGUGGUCUAUAUCAUGCGAGUUAUAGCAGUCCUAGGGAAUUUGUUCGGUGUCUCAGAGUUGUCAUAUUCCUAUUAAUGAUUGUGACAACUUUUAUAGGAUACGUACCACCUUGGGGUCAGAUGUGCUUUUGGGGAGCAAUAGUAAUUACAAGCUUAGCUAGCGCCAUACCAGUAGUAGGAGAUACCAUAGUGACUUGGCUUUGGGGUGGUUUCUCCGUGGACAAUGCCACCUUAAAUCUAGGUGCCAGUCUUCUUCAUCUGGCCGCAUUGCAUCAAUAUGGAUCAAAUAAUCCAUUGGGUGUACAUUCUGAGAUGGAUAAAAUUGCUUCUUACCCUUAUUUUUAUGUAAAGGAUCUUGUAGGUCGGGUAGCUUCUGCUAUCUUUUUUCCAUUUGGAUUUUUUGCUCCUAAUAUUUUGGGGCAUCCCGACAAUGAUAUACCUGCUAAUCCGAGGCCCACCACGCCCCAUAUUGUGCCGGAAUGGUAUUUCCUACCGAUCCAUGCCAUUCUUCACAGUAUACCUGGCAAAGCGGGAGGUGUAGCCGCAAUAGCACCAGUUUUUAUAUCUCUCUUGGCUUUACCUUUUUUUAAAGAAAUGUAUGUGUGUAGUUCAAGUUUUCGACCGAUUCACCAAGGAAUAUUUUGGUUGCUUUUGGCGGAUUGCUUACUAGUAGGUUGGAUCGGAUGUCAACCUGUGGAGGCACCAUUUGUUACUAUUGGACAAAUUCCUACUGCCUUCUUCUUCUUGUUCUUUGCCAUAACGCCCAUUCCAGGACGAGUUGGAAGAGGAAUUCCAAAAUAUUACACGGAUGAGACUCAUCGCACCCUUUUCUCCUUUUGGCCAUAG
rnacentral:rRNA from 1 species